GUCAGCCUCGGGCACAGCUCCUUUUGACAGUUUGCUCCCCAGGGCGGAAGGUGACCCGCAGGUGCCGGCUGCUUUCCCCACCAAUCAGCCAUCUGUGGUUUGAGACUCACAAGCUUAGGAGAGACUCGGGAGGCAUCAGUUCCGCAUCCCGCACUCCCACGUGAAUUUGCCCCCGCCCUGAGUCAGAACCCUAGAGGGGUGAAAUCCCUGAAUUCUGCAGAGGAAACCCAUACUUCUUUGCUUUUUCAGCAAUUCCAGGAGAUGUCGUUUUUCAAGUGGCAAAUGUGUGGCUCUAGAGGACAGAGUAACCACCUUGCAGCCAAGAAGCCCUGAUGUCAACUCCCAGCUCUGCUGCAGCACCCAGAAAUCACCGGACCUUUCUGCAUCUUUCUGGGUGACUCUGUCAUGAGGAUUUCAUAAUGUAAUUCCCUAGCACAUAAGAAUUUCUCAACCAAUAUGGCUUUCUUUUUUCCUUCUCACUAGUCUUUGAGCUUCUUAAAGGGAAGACAUGUCCUAUUCAUCUCUACACCCCCCACACCAGUCUGCAUUCAGUAAGUGCUCAAUCAAUGUCUGCUGAAUCACAUCUUCCCACUCAACUGCAUGGCCUCGGAUGAUCCAAUUCUGUGGGACUCAGGGUCUCCCUGAUUCUGAAGAUCUCCAUUUCAGCCACCCCAUCCUGGUGCUUUUUCUGGAGAGACUGGGAAAAAGGAGACAGAAGAAUCCACUCUAGCUGAGACUCCAGAUUGCCUGGGCUGUAAUUUACGGUGCUAUCACAAAGGGGUCCUUUUUCCGCAUGGUGCUCUGCGGUGAUGAGCCAGAAGCUGAAGCUGAGGGGUGUGUGACUCUCCCGCACACUCUCUGGAGUCUUAUUGGCUGUGCAAACUUGAGGGAGUUGCCUAACCACUCUGGGCCCUGUUUUCCUGGCUUUGCCACUCUUCAGCUGUGUGACCCGGGGAAGCUCUCAACCUCUUUGUGCCUCCAUUUCCACAUCUGUAAAAUGGGGAUAUGAAAGUGGCUGCUUUGUGAAGAGUCCUGAGAAUAAAUGAGUUAAGGAAAACUGAUAUGGAUAAAUAUGGAAGAGAGCUGGCCAGUGGAUGAAAUGGUGAUGUAAAGGUGAGCUUUGCGGAAGAGUGGAGAAAAGAGAUUGGCACUGAAGUGGGCAGUGAAAGAGCAAGAGGCUUGUGGGAGACUUGAUUUCAGAGGCAGCGUUUGGAUGGUUAUGAACAGGCUUUCCUCUUCUUUCAGGGGUACCGUAAAGAUCAGAAUUAAUAGUAUGACUAUUUGGUUUGGAGGCUGUUUCAUUAAGUAUUACACUGUGGAGAGACUGGAUCACAUGGGUCAUAUUAUUUAUUCAGGUUACAUUCACACUCCCUGUGAAUUCCCACCCUAUGCAAACUGGCAAGAAAACGCUAUUUUAAAAGAUUCUUGAACGCUUUUGUAUCUUUCUUAAGACUUUUGUAUACAGCACUGUUCACAUAGUAGGUAGUCAAAAUUAGUGAGAAAGACUCAAGCAAAAAGUUUAUUUGGAUUUCCAUAUGAUUUAUAAGCCAAGACGCUAUAAUCCAAAGAGGCAGGAAAAUGAUGUAAACUAGAAAUAAAAAUAUUUGUAAGUGACAAUGUGUCCUGAAUUCUUUGACAGGUUAAGAGAAAUAAAAGCAGGAGACGAGGAGAGAGUCACACCACGGCUCUGCAGCCCACACCACCUUGGAACCAAACAGGGAGGUGGCAGAACUGAUGGGCUGGCCGCACCACCUUAAAUCUCUUAGCUCCAAAACUGGAGGUGCUCAUCAGGACCCUGCAUCAUUUCUGUGGGUGAUGGAUGGUGUGAGGUAAGGCACAGAGAUCUAGACUUAUUUCUCCUUCCACAACAAUUGUUUCUUGGAAGAGGAAGAAAACUUAGCUGGAUUUUAUCUCUUUGUGUGGAUUUCUGGGGUAGACACCCAGAGGUGUGUGCAGGAGCAUGCUCUUUGGGGCCCACAUAGAGAUUCCAGCAGGUGCUGGAGAUUCUGGGGUAGCCUUUCCAUGACUGCUGGCCUCUUUUCCCCUGUGUUGCUUUGGUUUGCUGUCUGGCUAAAGGCAGGAGUGGGAGAAACUCACAUUCCACAAGAGGCUGCCUGGAGCAGAGGCCAAGAGGGUAAGGUUUGUCCAAGGCCUUCCAUCUCAGCUUUGCUGCCAAUUUGUCAGAAAAAAAAUCAUUUGUGCCAAUUAGACCCUGGUUAGGAAAGUGUUGUCCUGUCUGGGAAGCAGGUACAGAAACCAGUUGCAAGGACAGGAGAUCAAUGAAAGUGACACAUUACUUAUGCCUCCAAUUCUUCUCAGCCCUCAAUUUAGUCUCUGAGACACAGAGAAAAUAAGUGUACUUGCCUUGCUAAUGGGUACAUGGUUGGCUUUGGGCAAUUUAUAUAGAGCACUUUAGUUCCAAGAUGAAAUGCACUGAGAUAUUAGGAUUAGUCUCUGCUUUAAUGAGUUUCUGACUUGCAGGUUUGAAAAAAUUUAGUUCUUUUCUGUAUUUCUCUACAAACACAAAACAAUGAUUUAAUGGUAAAACAACAAUGAAAAGAAACUAGGCCAUUCUCUCCAAAAUGAUUAAAAGGGUACUUCUCCUGACCUGACAUAACCUUUCCUCAUAUGAAUUUAUUAUCUGUAUUCACACUCAUAUUCCACUGGAAUGCCUUGGGUCCAGGUGGAUGGUUGCUUAUGGUUAGUAUCGAUUCUGAGCAGGUAGGCAUUCAUACUGUUUGGUUGACGCCUGUGGUGAACAGACCUUAAGGUGACUUCUUGCACCCCUGAGUCAUUUUCUUGUAUAAUCUCCUCUCUUUGAGGACACAAACUGUGCCCUGCUUCAAACCAGUGGAAUAGAGACAAGGUGAUGAGAUCUUUGGUUAUUGCACCUAACUGCUUCAUUCAUUGCACAAUUAGUCACACGCUGUUUUGUGAUGCAGAACAUUUUUUUUUAAGAGAUGGUAGUCUCACUCUGACACCCAGGUUGGAGUGCAGUGACAUGAUCAGAGCUCACUGCAGCCUCAAACUCCUGGGCUCAAGGGAUCCUCCUGCCUCAGCCUCCUGAGUAGCUGGGACUAGAGGUGCGUGCCACCACACCCAGCUAUUUUUUAUUUUUUGUAGAAAUGGAGUCUCACUUUGUGGCCCAAGCUGGUCUCCAACUCCUGGGCUCAAGUGAUCCUCCCACCUUGGCUUAUCAAAUUGCUGGGAUCACAGGUUUGAGCCACCGUGCUUGGACUGUGAUGCAAAAUUUUAUCUAAACCUUGUAUUGUUGACUAUAGCAUCAUGCACUUACUAUUUUCCCUCUUAACUAGAUUUUAAGUCUCUUGAGGGCAAGAACUCUGUUCUUGAAGAUUUUCAGAAGCCCGAUAGCAUAUGGAAGUACUUGACACACAAUAAGUACACAGUCAUAUGUGAUUUGGUUUCUGAGCCUUCAUUUGUCCAACAAAACCAGAUGGGUCUUAGAUGAAGAUAUACGUGGCAAACACUGCAUGCCUACUGUGGGUCAGGUUAGCUCCCAGACAUGCAGAAAACAAAAGCUCUGUCCUCAGGAGUUCAUGAUGGUUCAACCCAAUCAACGAAGUCUUGCAAUCUCACUUCCUCCUUACCUUGUAGAGUUGGAAGAUAUCCAAAUAUUCCUAGAGUUCUUUGUCAAUCUGUCAGGAUUAUAAUUCCACAGAUCAGGCAGAGUGUAACCAUGAAGCUCUUCAGUGAAUUUUUAGUGACUUUUGGGUGAUUUUUUAGUUUCCAAGUAGAAGAAGCAAAAGACCCUUGUGGUGGUUACCUUCCAUCUAAACAGAGAGUGAGCUACAAAGAUACUGCUGUCCCUCAGUGGCCCAUGGGUGUCCCUGCAAAUCUGUGACUCAAGUGGCCAUAUUCAUAUUAAGCAGACCAGAGAUCAAAACCAUAUUAGGCAUGAACCACUUUUUAUUCAUAGGCUUACCGAAUAUAU
rnacentral:lncRNA from 1 species